rnacentral:rRNA from 1 species
CAGUCGCCACGGUAAUACGGAGGGUGCAAGCGUUGUCCGGAUUUAUUGGGUUUAAAGGGUGCGUAGGCGGCCUAAUAAGUCAGUGGUGAAAGCCUCCAGCUUAACUGGAGAACUGCCAUUGAUACUGUUAGGCUUGAGUAUACUUGAGGUAGGCGGAAUUGACAGUGUGGCGGUGAAAUGCAUAGAUAUUGUCAAGAACACCAAUUGCGAAGGCAGCUUACUAAAUUAUAACUGACGCUGAGGCACGAAAGUGUGGGUAUCAAACAGGAUUAGAUACCCGCGUAGUCCCUGUCUCUUAUAC